GCCUUGGUGGUGUAAUAUUCAGCAUGCUCGGCGCGUAUUCGAGAGGUCCGAGGUUCGAGUCCCGGCAAGGGCA
rfam:Stegodyphus mimosarum contig15214, whole genome shotgun sequence.